CUAUAACCUAACCGAAUUGACAAAAAUUGGAUUGGGUUCUCAACCCGGUUCACAAUUGUUCCAUUCACUCUUUCUGCUAUGGGUAGGCCAUCCUCGACCAUCGAAAUCCCUUACGAACGCCACCGACAUAACACUCGCCGCACACCGGACUCCGAUAUCUCCGACGAUUAUCGCCGCCGUCGCAGCCCCAGCUAUGACUCUUACGACCGCCCCGCGGACCGCCGCCGCCGCCGUUCGGAAUCACCCCCCUUCAGAAACCCUAGACACACCAAUGGAGCUCCCAACGACGACGCUCUGCCUAAGAAAUUCGGUCGCCGAAACGGGGCAUAUCUGGACCGCGACCGCGGGGACUGGCAGCGUUCCAAUUCUGAGUCCGACGAAGAGUUGAAGGGUUUGAACUACGAGGAAUACCGAAGGCUCAAGCGUCAGAAGAUGAGGAAGUCGCUGAACUACUGCAUCUGGAACGUCACGCCCAGUCCUCCGCGGCGCGACGAUGACGAUCUGGAGGAUUAUAGCAAACCUGAUGAAAUCUCUGACCGAGACGACGUCGGUGGGAAGAUUGACAACGAGGAUAAACCAAGAGGAAAAUCGAAAUCGGAAUCUGAUUCUGAAUCUGAAAAGUCUAUCAGCAGUGAAUCAGACGAUUCGCGUUCUAGGAAGAAGAGAAGGAAGAGUUCUGCUGGUUCGUCGAGGAGGAGAUCGUAUAGCGGGAGUGGGUCAGAAUCUGAAUCAGAGUCAGAGUCAGAAUCAGAAGAAGAGUAUCGUAGACGAAGGAAGAGUAGGAGGAAUAGAAGAAAAAGAAGUAAGAGGAGCAGCAGGAAGAAAAUAUAUAGCGAUUCAGAUGAGAGUGACGAGAGCGAGAGUGGUGAUUCUGAAAGCAGUGGGAGAAAGAGGAUGAAACGUUCUUCUUCAAGGUCUAGUUCGAAGCCUAGCAGUAGGAGCAGAAAAGGAAAAAAGAAAAGUUCUGAGACGGAAAGCGAACGUGCUUAUUCGGAGGACGAGAAUGGUUCUGGUUCCGGUGAUGCUGGUAAAGCUACGAUAGAUGAGGUGUUGAACACGGAGAUUAAUGCGGAGGCUAUGAAGUUAAAGGAAUUGUUCGAGUCUCAGAAGAAACCCACUUUGGACAACGAACCCGCUGUUGGGCCAAUGCCGUUGCCGAGGGCUGAGGGGCAUAUAAGCUAUGGUGGAGCGCUUAGGCCUGGUGAAGGUGAUGCCAUUGCGCAGUAUGUUCAACAAGGUAAGCGUAUUCCGCGAAGAGGAGAAGUGGGUCUUUCUGCGGAGGAGAUUCAGAAGUUUGAGAGUCUUGGUUAUGUGAUGAGCGGUAGUAGGCAUCAGAGGAUGAAUGCCAUUCGUAUCAGGAAAGAAAACCAGGUUUAUAGUGCUGAGGAUAAACGUGCUUUGGCUAUGUUUAACUAUGAAGAGAAGGCCAAGAGGGAGCAUAAGGUUAUGGCUGAUCUGCAGCGCCUUGUGCAACGCCAUAUUGGCCAGGAUGUUGGUCCAACUCAUGAUCCUUUUGCUCCAAAAGCCUCCGAUGGUGCUGAUGCAUGAUCACUAGCACUGAUGAAAAGAGGAGCCAGAGAAGCUUAAUUGAAUUGGAGGGUCAUUCUGACCAUAUAGGUCUGGUUAAUGGCUUAAGAAGACUAAGUGGCAGAAGUCUUUGGGCAGUUACCAUUGCACGUGAUCGUAAAAGAGCUGUGACCAUUGGUGUGCCAUUGACACCUUAUAGCUGGCUCAUUCACAUGCUUUUUGGAUAUUGUGCAAGAUCUUGAUUGUUAAAUUUAUGGUAGAAGUUAAUUUUUUUUUGUGCGCAAUGGAGAAGCAAACAGUAGAUGAGCAGAGGAAUCUUACGAGGGCUAAUGAGGUGUUUGAGUAAGGACAAGGAUUUAGUAUGAUGGCACACUGUCAAAAUGCAGAUUCUAUUUUACUUAUAGAAGUAUUGCAGAGAAACAAGCAAGCUUUUUUUUCUUCAAAUGGUCUAAUUUGAUAGAAAGAAGAUAGUGUCUUGUUUCGAAAGUAGUAAAAUCCAUGCCGCAUCAGCUGUACUUGCCUCAUAUGAAAUCAUUGUUUUGAGCACUUACGGCUGUAGAUUCUGUUUCUCUUGUUUUGACUGUUGGGGUUAUGAUGCUGAUGCUGUGAAGGUUUAUUUAAUUCUUAUGAGAUUGUACUUGAAAUAGCUUGCUAGCUGCUGCAUGCAGUGGAUGGAAUGCUCUCUUGAAGUGGAAGAAUUACUUUCCUGGUCUAAUAUUUUGUAAUAAAACUUGUAAUUGUUUCUCAUACAAACCCAGUUUAAUUUGAAUUGGACAAUGGGACACUCUUGCAUUCCUAUGUGAGUGCAUUCCUAUCUUAACCAUUUUAUUUUGGUCUUCAA